rnacentral:rRNA from 1 species
GUUUCCUACGGGACGCAGCAGUUAGGAAUAUUCGUCAAUGGGGGAAACCCUGAACAAGCAAUGCCGCGUGAGUGAUGAAGGCCCUAUGGGUUGUAAAACUCUGUUGUUGAGAAAGAAUUGUAAGAUUAGGAAAUGAGUCUUACUUGACGGUACUCUUCAAGAAAGCCACGGCUAACUACGUGCCAGCAGCCGCGGUAAUACGGAGGAUCCGAGCGUUAUCCGGAUUUAUUGGGUUUAAAGGGUGCGUAGGCGGUUUGAUAAGUUAGAGGUGAAAUGUCGGGGCUCAACCCCGAAACUGCCUCUAA